CGUACCUUUUGUAUAAUGGGUCAGCGACUUAUAUUCUGUAGCAAGGUUAACCGAAUAGGGGAGCCGAAGGGAAACCGAGUCUUAACUGGGCGUUAAGUUGCAGGGUAUAGACCCGAAACCCGGUGAUCUAGCCAUGGGCAGGUUGAAGGUUGGGUAACACUAACUGGAGGACCGAACCGACUAAUGUUGAAAAAUUAGCGGAUGACUUGUGGCUGGGGGUGAAAGGCCAAUCAAACCGGGAGAUAGCUGGUUCUCCCCGAAAGCUAUUUAGGUAGCGCCUCGUGAAUUCAUCUCCGGGGGUAGAGCACUGUUUCGGCAAGGGGGUCAUCCCGACUUACCAACCCGAUGCAAACUGCGAAUACCGGAGAAUGUUAUCACGGGAGACACACGGCGGGUGCUAACGUCCGUCGUGAAGAGGGAAACAACCCAGACCGCCAGCUAAGGUCCCAAAGUCAUGGUUAAGUGGGAAACGAUGUGGGAAGGCCCAGACAGCCAGGAUGUUGGCUUAGAAGCAGCCAUCAUUUAAAGAAAGCGUAAUAGCUCACUGGUCGAGUCGGCCUGCGCGGAAGAUGUAACGGGGCUAAACCAUGCACCGAAGCUGCGGCAGCGACACUAUGUGUUGUUGGGUAGGGGAG
rnacentral:rRNA from 1 species